UGGGGAAUAUUGGACAAUGGGCGAAAGCCUGAUCCAGCCAUGCCGCGUGUGUGAAGAAGGUCUUCGGAUUGUAAAGCACUUUAAGUUGGGAGGAAGGGCAUUAACCUAAUACGUUAGUGUUUUGACGUUACCGACAGAAUAAGCGCCGGCUAACUCUGUGCCAGCAGCCGCGGUAAUACAGAGGGUGCAAGCGUUAAUCGGAAUUACUGGGCGUAAAGCGCGCGUAGGUGGUUUGUUAAGUUGGAUGUGAAAUCCCCGGGCUCAACCUGGGAACUGCAUUCAAAACUGACUGACUAGAGUAUGGUAGAGGGUGGUGGAAUUUCCUGUGUAGCGGUGAAAUGCGUAGAUAUAGGAAGGAACACCAGUGGCGAAGGCGACCACCUGGACUAAUACUGACACUGAGGUGCGAAAGCGUGGGGAGCAAACA
rnacentral:rRNA from 1 species